CCCUUAGAUGGUCUGGGCGGCACGCGCGCUACAAUGAUGCAUUCAAAAAGUCUUCUGACCUUAUAAGGUUGGGUAUUCUCCAAAGUGCAUCGUGAUGGGAAUAGUUUAUUGCAAUUUUUAAUCUUGAACGAGGAAUUCCUAGUAAGUACAGGUCAUCAACUUGUGUUGAUUACGUCCCUGCCCUUUGUACACACCGCCCGUCGCUCCUACUGAUUGAGUGUCUCGGUGAAUUCUUUGAUCUUCUGUCGAUUCAGUUCACUGAUCCGACGGUGGAAAGUUGAAUGAACUUCGUCACUUAGAGGAAGGAGAAGUCGUAACA
rnacentral:rRNA from 1 species